rfam:Desulfotomaculum acetoxidans DSM 771, complete genome.
GAGGGGAGGCCCCUCGAACUCGGUAUUCAGGUGCAGAGUUCAAACAACCUUAAGCUGCUGUGUUCAAAAGGCAUGGUGGUGAGCGUUAAGGAAAAGGCCGGAAUUACCGGUCAUG